UAGUUCCACUUUCUUCGUUGUCAUCUUAAAAAAACUGAUUGACAACCAUACCUGUGUUUAAAGAGAAUGGCCAGGAGGAUACAGAGUAAGAGGAUGAUGCAAACACUCAAUAACGAACACAACGUAACCAGGAACUUAUCAAUCGUUUGUCCAUCACAGACUGGCAUCGCUAUUCUCUUUGUUACUGUGUAUG